rnacentral:lncRNA from 1 species
UAUACACAUCUCCCAUCAAAGCUUUGUCGAAUCAAAAGUUUCGCGAUUUUAAGAAGGAGUUUGAGAGUGUUGGGCUCAUCACUGGUGAUAUUCAAAUUAACGCCGACGCUAACUGUCUUGUUAUGACGACGGAGAUUCUGAGGUCCAUGUUGUACCGCGGUUCCAGACUGAUUCGAGACACCGAGUGGGUCAUAUUUGAUGAAGUCCAUUAUGUCAAUGACGCUGAGGUGGGUAAUAUUUACUAUUGAUAGACACCUUAAGUUGACAUUUACGACAGAUGGACAGACGAUUAACGAUUUUUCUAUAGCGCAAAUUUCCAUGUGGAUGUGAUCAAAUACGCUUUACAUCAAGUAUUACGCUUACCUAAGUACUUACUUAGCCUAGAUUAUUUUAUCUUUACAACAAUUGUGAUAUUACUGUGUUUACCAUAACUCACCCUGUCAACUUUCCCUGUGGGAGGAAACUGGAGCGCCCAGAGAAAACCCACAACUUUCGGAAGAGCGUUGACUGACUCUUUUCACAUGAGUUCGUAGCGAGAAUCGAACCCAGGACCUCAGAGGUGAAAGGCGCUUACUCUGACCACUGCGCCACCGAAGCUCCACUUCAAAGGUCAAACAGCAAACUUCAAAGGUCUACACGUUUCCGACAGCUAAGUAGCUACUUCACAAUUUUAAUGCACAAAUUCCCCUAACUUCGAACAGUUAACAGUUGAUCUCAAAAUACAAUUUAAAGGUCUCUGAUCUCCAAUAUCCGCUAACAUCUUAAACCUGCUACCCGUGAUUCCCAAUUGUAUUUUGCUAAAUCUGAUUUGUUUCGUAUUUCUCAGCGAGGCGUGGUUUGGGAAGAAGCCCUGAUUUUGUUACCAGAGCAUAUUGGUAUAAUCAUGUUAUCUGCCACUGUUCCUAAUGCCAAGGAAUUCGCUGGAUGGGUGGGGUAAGGUGAUGUUAUUUAUUGCAGGGUUUUUAAUAUAGAUUUACCCCCCGCUUGCUGGGGCAGGGGAGCUAGUAAAUAGAAAGCUUCAGAGUACUUAUAUAUAUAUACAUAUAUAAGCGCCCUGGAAGGCUUAUUCAAUUUGCCGAAAGUUUUAUUUAUUAACUUUACAAGCAUACAAAAAAGUACUUUGAAAUUGUUACAAUUAAACCUUUUUUAACAAAACUGAGCAACACUUAAUUUAAAUAUGGUUCAAAGCCUCGUCAACAGGACAUGAGUGAAAACCAACCUGAAAAUAUUGAUAUUGACAGGGAUGUUGAUUUCGUGCUUACUGAGCAUGGGAACGAGUUUAAUAGAGGAAUUGUGGUAACGAAAUUAUCCCUUAAUCUUGUGUAGGCGAAUUAAGAGGAAGAAUAUCUACGUUAUCAGCACCUCUAAACGUCCGGUACCUCUAGAGUAUUUUCUCUACACUGGGAACAGCGCUAAGACUGCCGAUGAAAUGUUUCCAAUUGUGGAUAGAAAAGGGAAAUUUCUGCCAGCAGGACACAGGAGAGCUGUGGAGGCGAAGAGCCAGAGAUCGAAGUCCAAAGAUCACUAUGGCGCGAGGGGAGCACGCCAGAAUACGAAUCCAAAUGAGGUCUGUGAAGGAACGCGUUAAAGUUGAAUCUAUACACGUAAAAACGCACAAGUUGUAACAAACCUGCAGCAGACUUGCAAUGCUGUUCCAACAACUUGUCAACAGGAUGUGUUCGCACUGCUUGUUCCCAGCUUGUUGACAAGUUGUUAACGGCUUGUUGACAACUUGCGACAAGGUUGUUGAGCUCAACAGAUUUGCUGCAAGUUGUUCCAACAACUUGUUAUCGUCCCGCAAUUCAACAAUUUGUCACUAAGUUGUGAGUGACAACCUUAUAGCAACUUGGUAAAAUAACAACAUUGUUACAACUUGUAAACAAGCUUGCUACAAGCCUGUUGCGAACACAUCUUGUUGACAAGUUGUGAGAUUUUUACGUGUGUAGUUAAAGGGUCAAGAUUGAAAAUGCUAAUCAUUGAAUUGCGAAGGUCGUGGCCGAGUGAAGGACUUCAAAUUAUAUCUGACCAUUGAAACUUUGUGUUUAGGAAAGAAACAUUUGGAUUUCCCUAAUUCGAAAACUUGAAAAGGACGAAGGACUCCCAGUUGUGGCGUUUACGUUUUCAAGAAAGGGAUGUAACGAGAAUGCUGAUAAGUUGACCAACUUGGAUUUAACAACGCGCAAGCAAAAAUCUGAAAUUCAUAUCUUUAUUCGGAAAUGCAUUUCACGAUUGAAAGAUCGGGAUAGACAAUUACCCCAGGUAAACUUACGGGAGUGUUAGUGGUACAGUACAUAUGUCUUUCAUAUAUGUCUUUCAAAAUAAACGCCUGAUCGCAGGUUAUUCACCUCUCUGAUAGGCCUUCGAUUCUUGCAAUAUACAGUUUUUGAAUUAUAAUUUUGUCUCUGUCGCAUGUGAGAAGAGUGCUUCCAGUUUUACAUUUUCCCGAAUACUUUUGUUUCUUCCUGUAUGAAGACUGAUCCAAGAGGUGACCCUUACUGGGCUUCCUGGAAGAAGCGUUUAACUGUCUUUGCCAGAGCAGGUCGUGCCAAUCAAAUGAACAAUCUUUCGUUGCUAGGGAUGCAACUACCUGAAAAUAUAUAUAAGGAGAAUUUCGGGCCCUUCGUCUGGAGAUACCAGACAAGGAUAGAAACUCCAGACGAAGGGCCUUCGCUUGAAACGUCCAAAUUCUCUUAUAUAUUUUCAGGUAGUUGCAUCCCUAACAACGAAAGAUUGUUCAUUUAGAACCAACAGACUUUUAUGCAGUAUUAAAAAAUACUUUGUUUGGGAUUCCUCCUGUGGUGACACUGGACUAAGAAACUAAAACAUGCAAUUCCAUUUACUGUAGGUGAAGAAAAUGCAAGAAAAACUGAAGCGUGGUUUAGCUGUACAUCACAGUGGUAUAUUACCAAUUUUAAGAGAGGUGAGACUCGCCGAUGUGAGACAAUGCUCAAUCAAUUACAUUACGUUUAGCGAAAAACUAAUUGUGUGAAAUAUUUUGUAGAUGGUUGAGAUCUUAUUUCAACGUGGAUUGGUCAAGGUAAACGAUUUUUAUUAGCACCUCUUGACAACCAUCAAUGUAUGGCGCUAAUGCUCUCUCGACAAGCACGGGGGAUCCCCCCCCCCCUUACUGGUCAAUUAAGCCUUCUGUAUGUAGGUCGAGGGUUGGGUAUUACUCUGUACAGACUUGAUAUGCUUGAAAAUUUGACAGUAGGGUUGUUCUUCCAGGGGGUUUCUCCGCUUACUCCGGUUUUCCUCCCUCGCUAACACCAACCCUGGGGCCUUAGUUAUCGAGCGUAUCAUAAAUUUCUGCCUGGGUGAAUUGGGUAGCCAUAUCGAACUUUCAAGAUAUUUUUAUCAUAUGUCAACUUUCAGGUACUUUUUGCAACGGAGACAAUUGCAAUGGGUGUUAACAUGCCUGCAAGGACAGUUGUCUUUGAUUCAUUUCUUAAACAUGAUGGAGUAAGUAAAAGGGAAUUGCUGCCUGAGGAGUUUAUACAGAUGGCAGGCCGAGCAGGCAGACGAAGACUGGACGACAUUGGUACUGUCAUAAUGUUAUGCAAAGGUGAUGUACCGGAAAUCUCUGCUGUCGAAAAAAUGAUGAUGGUAAGCCGCUGACCUUGGACUGAAUAAUGCAUUUGGUAUGCAUGAUUAUAUGGCCACCAUAUUGGGCCAAAUAAAAAUAAUAGUUGGUUUCAGGUUUCCGACCGACCUGUCAAAAAUAUGACCGACCAUAAACAUUUUAUUGACAUAGGGAUCAUCUUUUCGUAAAUAUCAGAAUAUAUAAAUAGUCAUCAGACUCAUUUGCUACAAAGUAUUUUGUUUGCUCAUAAUUUAAUCAUUAUCUAGUCAUGUUAAUCCUUGAUGCAUUUGUUUCUCGCAAAACAUGUGUAGCUCGCGGUUGAUCCCAUGUGGCACGUCUGAUUAUGCGUGACAGUUACUCAUAAACAACUUAUAUUUAUUGCAUACUUGAGAUAAGAUUUUUUUUUAAAUAAAAUGCUUUUCCGACCUACCUACCCAUAUAAAACAUGGCUGUGAAACCUGAAACCAACUAUUAUUUUUAUUUGGCCUUGGAAUGACCACAAUAAAAUGCCAGCUAGUGCAAUUAUUAUUUUUAUUAAUAACAUCAUUACUAUAAUUAUAAUCAUAAUAUUUGUUGUUGUUGUUGCUGUUGCUGUUGUUGCUGUUGCUGUUGCUGUUGCUGUUGCUGUUGUUGUUGUUGUUGCUGUUGUUGUUGCUGCAAAUGAUUAAUACUGUUAUCAUUGACUUGGUAGGGAAAACCGACGCCACUAGAAUCCAGGUUCCGUUUAACGUACUCCAUGAUGCUAAAUCUUCUUCGCUCAGACGACCUGUCUGUCGAGGACAUGAUGAAACGUAGUUUUGAUGAAUUCUACUUGUUGAAGAAAGCACCAGAACGAGAAAGAAUGAUCUCAAAACUCACUGAAGAACUUGAACAAGUAGAGAAACUAUGUUGUGAAAAGUGUUCGCUUGAUGUGGAAGAUUACUAUGACAUCGCUAAAGAAUUAACGACACUAUACAAACCUCUGCAGGUUAGAUAUGCUCUGCUGCGUUGGUGGUAUAGUGUUUAGCUCUUUUCUCUUUCACUUGUGUGACCGGAUUAAAUUCCUGCAAUAUGCAGUUGUCUGAUUAUAAUUUCGUCACAUUUGAGAAGAGCGCUCCCAGUUUUCCUAAUAAAAGUACGUUUAGUUUAGGUUUCCCUCCUGUAGUAACACUGAACACAAUACGAGUGACGGCUCUCACUCGACUUCUAGGAAGAACAGUUAAGAACUGAUAGAGCUAUCCAGUAUAAAUAAAGUUAGUUUAGUUUAGGUUUCUUCCUGUAGUAACACUGGAUCAAUAAGAGACAAUCCUUAUUGGACCUCUAGGAAGAACAGUUAAGAACUGAUAGAGCUAUCCAGUAUAAAUAAAGUUAGUUUAGUUUAGGUUUCUUCCUGUAGUAACACUGGAUCAAUAGAGAAUGACCCCAACAGUUCUGAACUAAUAGAGCUACCCUGUACAGAUGUACUUCUAAUUUGUUGCCAUGAGGUCCAGUAAGGGCCAUCCUUACAACUGGAGGAAACUUGAGUAUAACAGUCCGUGUUUGGUAAUUUGGUAGUCAAAUUAGAAGCACUCUUCUUGCCAGAUAGACUUUCCCUCGCUAUAUAUGUGUUGCUAUUUUUUUGUAGUUAACCAUGGUGUCUUCGCCAAGUGGACAAAAAUCACUAACGUCUGGUCGUAUAGUUAUUAUAACGAACAAACAAUUCCUAACUCGAUAUGGAAUGAUUCUGGGCAAGAAAUCACAAUUCUCAUCUCUGGAUUCAAAACACGGGAAGAAAUCAUAUACUGUACUGCUAGCUUGCGAUCACAACGAAGUAAUUUGGAACGAGGAACAAGUACCAAUGGUCGAUGAGGAUUCUGAAGUGAUCGUUGAGCCUUACGCAUGCAGUAUUGAAGUAUAUUGUCCCCAGAGACCGUCUACACACACGAUAGUUGAAAUACGAGAAGAGGAAAUUGUCGUUAUUACUAGUCAAGUGAAACCGAAUUUGAACAGUGAAGCGAUGAUCAAUGAUUUUAACAAAAGAAAACAGCCACGCUUUAGGUGUGUAAUUAGGUUAUCAAAGCUAGAAGCUGCGACAAUCCCCCCCCCCCCCCCCCAGUAUACUUUCAGUUGUACAAUUGUGAACACCAUUGUAACUUUAGUUAGUCUGCUGAUGAUUUCAAAGGUAGGAGGUAGUGAUAGUUCCUUGAACUUGUGUGAUCAUUCUACUAACUUCCAGAAGAAUUUCCUUCGCUCGAAACGUCGAAGUUCUACCCUCAACUUACAGCAGCAGGCUUCAGUACAGUAACUCUAUGGUAAGAGAUAGCAUGCUAACAACACGUGCCACCCAACGUAUAUAACUUUCUUUUUACAGGCAUGAUCCACCGGGAAAAUCCAUCAGCGCUGCGACUGAAGAAUUACUUCGGCUCUCAGAAACAUAUCCACAAGGUUUACCCAUGACAGACCUCCCUAUCAAAAAUUUGGCUUUCCAUGAAAGGAGAACACGUCAGAAAUUCUUGGAAUCUCGAAAUCAAAGUUUUAAUUGUCUACUGUGUGUACAGUUUGAAGAGCAUGUAAGUUCUGACCUUGAUUUCCUAGCCAUCUCUACAAUAUCUAUACCAUCCCAUAUUCUGAUCUCUGAUCAGCUCUCUCUUAUCUCUCCUUGAAAUACUCAUUACUAAUAAAGAUUUGUCCUGAUUUACUUAAACUUCAGCUUUGAUUUUCGUAGCUUAGACGAUGUUUAUUUUUAAAAUUACUUCGCCAAUGAACUUAUAAACUGUGUCUUUAACUUGUUACGUGUCCAUGCUAUCUUACCCUUGCUGUUUAUUAUUUUUUCAGUUCAAGAAAUACAGAAGGGAAAGGAUAUUGAGGGAUAAGAUUGCAAACUUAGAAGAAAAAUCAUCAAUAGAAAAGCUGAGUCUUACUCCUGAAUAUCGAAAUCGUGUGGAGGUAUAUAUUCUGUCAAUUGUUUCUAAUAUAAAUCUCUAACUUAUAUAUACUGAAUUAGUCUAUCAGUUCUAAACUGUUCUUGCUAAAGGUCUAGUAAGGACCAUCUCUUAUUGGUCUAGUGUCACUACAUGCAGGAGGAUACCGAAGUACCCUGGGUAGAAUAAAACGUAGUAGGUGUUUGGUAGAAUAAAACUCGAAGCACUUAAAAUUACAACAGGACAAGUGCAUAUUACAGGAUUCAAACCCCAAUCACAGAAAUGAAAGAUAGAAGAACUAACACUUUUCCACCACUGUUGUAGUAAAUCUUUAUCUGUUUUUCUAGGUUUUAGUUGAACUUGGUUAUUUAAACAAGAGCAAAGAGACUGAAAUGAAAGGCCGUGUCGCGUGCGAGAUAAGCAGUCAUGAAGUUCUUAUAUCUCAUCUACUCUAUCAUAAAUUUUUCAACGAUUUCGAUCCUGCUGAAGUUGUUGCUCUUCUCUCGUGUUUUGUCUUCGAACAGGUAGUUCUCCUAUUUAGUUUCCUGUGGUAAAACAGCAUCUUCACUAAAAAUAUAUACAUGGCUUGGGUCAACCCUUAGUCCAUCUCGGGUCCGUAUAGUGUAAACACAAUUGCAUUUUUACUUCAACUUGCUUACAGUAAAUCAAUUUGUUUUUAUUUAGAAAUCACACAGUUUACCAACGUUAACUGAAAAACUCAAAGAAGUAUGUCAUUUACUACCAAAUUAGUCUGACGAUGAGUUUGUAAUAAUCUUCAAAUAUUCAUGUUCAAUCUUGUUUUCCUCUGAUAUUGAGUUUCAUGAUGAGUGUUCCAUCCUUUAUUUUCUUCAAUGCCUUUCAUGUUACGCUUGUAGGGAAAAGAAAGAAUUUUAGUCACUGCCAGAGAAAUUGCUAACAUAGAGAAAAAACACGGAAUGGAUACGUCGUGUGAAGAGUUUGUGCAGCAAUUUAAAUUUGAUUUGAUUCAAGUUGUGCUUGAAUGGGCGAGAGGAAUGCCUUUUAAUGAAAUCACUGAUCUUACGGAUAUAGAGGAAGGUAAAGUUUCUAGUGUUUUUCUCCAGGUAUCUUCCCUCGCCGAAAACCAACCCUUCCAGCCGUGAUUAUGUGAGAAGAGGGACAGUAUUAAACACUCGAGAUGUCAUCCAACUUUUAUUUCAUUAUUUCAGGCAUACUUGUGAAAUGUAUUCAGCGUUUAAAUGGUUUGUGCUGCGAUGUGAAGAACGCCUCAAAAUGUCUUGGUGUUAAAGACGUCGAAUUAAAAAUGGAGGAGGCUUCAAAUCUGUUCAAACGUGAUAUAGUAUUUGCUGCUAGUCUCUACACUCAAGAGUAAAAAAUGUCAUUGUCUCAAUAAAAAAUUAUGGCGUUUGAGCAACAGUAUCCUAUUUUCAAUUUAUACAAUUAUGUAAAAUAUAACAAAUAGCAUCUUUUCUAUUUCACGCAAUUUUAAAAUGAUCAUUUGCUAGCUUUCAGUUAAGAUAUUUAGUCGGUUGUUAGUAGCUAGUCAGGUCUGUAUCUGGUGAUUUUUUAAUAAUUAUACAUGAUUUAUACGCUUGGACCAUGGUGAUUUGGCAUCAUGAUAGAAAUGUGCAUUGUCUUUUCAUUGUUCUAAAAUCCCACUGUUUACCACAGG